UCCAAGAGGGGCGGACCCAGCACCUCCUGAGGCGGAAGAGGCAGCGAGCUCAGGGCUCAGCAGCUGGAGAAUCAUCCUCAGCAGAUUUCUGAGCUGAAGCUGCCGUUGAUGUUUUUGUAAACUGCACACCAAGACCUGAGUAAGAACUGUUGGCACUGACUGAGGGAGGAAUUUGCAUGAGAUUGGAAGAUGGAAGUAUAGCAGAAGCCAUUGCUCUCAGAAGGUUGAUGUAUAGAUGCCUGGCAGUCUCCAGCUUCCAGAUCAUCCUCCCCACUACUAGUCUAGUUAAACAACAGUGGCCUCAAGCACUAGAGUACACUUUCAAUAGAAAUGACAGCUUCCAAAGACCUCUCCAUGAGCUCUCCUCUUGUGGGUCCACUUCAGCAGCCAGAAGAGUAUGGCUGGAGGAAUUUUCCUGCAAGCUCCGAGUUGCCCAAUCAAGUCAGUGUAGAGGCU